GGUGUGUUACUGGAGAGCUGGAUCGUGCAGACAUUGACAAAUGCCAGGAGGGAGACCUCACAGGUACAGAGGUGAAGAGCAGGAGAAACCCCACCCAACAGAGUGUACAGCCCUUCUGGGCCCCAGAGGUUUGGGGGAAGAGACCCUGCCAGAGGGCAAAGACUGAAGUGGGCAUCUGGCCUGCCGCCACUACGAACACAGGAGCUACUGGAGACUAAGAGGUUCCCCUUUCAGGGAGGAUGGGAGGAAACCCUGCUCUGAUGAGGUGGAACACUGGCAGGUCACCUGACUGUUAGUCUGCCCAGCAACUAGGACAGCAUAUAACACCUUUGCUCCAGUGAGAAGGGACUGCACAUUUUGGAGGUAGCAUGUGCUGCUGCUGUCAGGUAGUGAGUGCUGCUAUUCAAUGGAUAGCUCACAUCCACCCAUGAUGGCACAGGGAAAGAAGAUCUACUAAGAAGAGAACAGAGUGGUCAUCUACCUGUUCUGAGGUCCUGCUUCCAGUACCUGUUGGUGACAUCUGGAUCUGGAGUUCAGCCAGUUGUGAUGGUGUAACCUGUCCAUCAAGCUGCAAGAGAUGUUUUCUUUGAAGUAAAACAAACUUCUUGAUAGAAACAAGGUAUAAAAUCCAGUCAACAGUGCAUGCCUGAGGAGUUUGGAGGUACCCUAGCUGGAGUCUUACAUUCAGGCUCUUUGACCAGCCCCUUCAUAGGAACUGCAGCUGAGUGUCCCUACCUGUAUAUAUGCUGGUGAAAGUGCAGGAUGGAGCCUGGAGAGGGCUUUUCAGCUUGUCACAGCAGUACAGUGCAAGAGGGAGCCCAGGUCGGUGGGUCGGGGGGCUCAAUGGUACCCCAAUGGCACCCCUGGGGGAACCCAUCACACUGGGAUCACGGACUUCCCCCACACCCAGACACAAGGGUGGCAUCUGACAGUGGAUCCCCACCACCAUGUCAGACGAAGGAGCAUCUGCCAGAAAAGCGACAAAGAAACUGGCUCCAACCUCCUCUCCUCGGGAAUCUGCAAAAAAGAGAUGUUCCCUGACCCGUCAGACCUCAUUGGUACCAAGAGCACCGAUACUGGCCACCUCUGAGGUAGCGGAACCAUCCAGUACCACAUGUACCAUGCAAGCCAAAAUCCCUAAGCCAAAAAACUGGAUCAGAAAAAGGCAUUAAAGGGAAACCCACCAUUCCUGCCUUGGUACUUCUGGAACUGCUCACACAUGUGGCACCAAGCAGCUCCACAGCAUUUGUCUAUCGCACCACCUUCUGCCUACACUGCUCAGAGCCCAUGCCCCUCGGCACCGACAAUUACGGUAAAGACGUUGGUGCCACUGACAACACACUCCCCGGUAUCAGUGCUCUUAGUACUGCAGCAAUUUCCCUGCCAUAAAGAUCUGGUAUCCUUGGCACUGGCAUCUCUACUCCUUGGUACUGACUUUACUACAGCUCACUUGUACUAUUCCAAGUUACUACACCACCCAGAUCAGCUCCUCCUUUAUCCAGCGAUGAGGAUGAGGAUGAUGAAGAGGAAAUCUACUCCUCUUAUCACUCCUUGCUAUCCACAGUUACCAGACCAGGUGCACCAAAACACCAUCGGCUCUCCAACUCAUCCCUCCUGAUAUUGCCGAUGUCUGGUGAUGUGAUCUAUGUAGAUGUCCCUCGACCACCUAAAGGCGUGGCAACACCAUGAGUUGCCGUAUCAGCCGAUGUGUAGUGCUGACCGAUUCCACAUUCUCUGAACACUUGCUCAUUACUGGGCAAGAAUCUUCAUUACUCAAGAAUCUUCACAACCUCUAGCCUGAAAUACAAGCCCCAAUUCCUUCAUGAGACCUCAGUCUGGUGCUGCGAUGCCUUACAGGGCCCCUUUUUGAACCACUAGCAACAUACUCACUUCUACAUUUCUCGCUAUCUGUCCGAUGAGUGGAAGAACUGGGGGCCCUCCUGGCACAUCCCCCAUACACAAUAUUUUUCAAAAACAAAGUUACCCUAUGAUUGCACCCCAAGUUCCUACCUAAAAAUAGUUUUGUCAUUUUAUUUGAAUCCACCCAUCCAUCUACCAUCAUUCUUCCCAAAACCUCAUGGGAACAAACAAGAAGCAAUGCUUCAUACCCUGGAUGUCUGAAGGCCGCUAGCCUUUACAUUGAAAGGACAAAGUCUUUCAGAAAGUCACCAAAGUUAUUUCUUUCCAUCACAGAAUGAUCUAAGGGAGAUGCUAUAUCCAAACAAAGGCUGUCAAAAUGGAUCUCUGACUGCACUGACUUUUGCUAUCAUCAUCAACAGAUACAAACCUCACCAGGGACCCACACACACUCCACCAGAGCUUUUUCUACACUGAUAGCUUUCCUCAAUAAUGUGCCCAUUGUGGACAUUUGCAGAGCAGCAACCUGGGUCUCUUCCUAUACAUUCACACUGCACAAUACCAUAGAGCAGUACGUGACAUCAGACACUAUACUGGGACUUGCGGUUUUAUCAUCUGCCAUGACUGCAACUCAAGAGCCCUUCCCUUCCACUGAGGGGCACUGCUCUAGUGUCACCUAAAGUGGAGCACCCUCUGGGACAGACCUUGAAGAAGAAACGAAGGUUACUCACCCUUUGCAGUAACUGAGGUACUUCGAGAUGCUUGUCCCUGUGGGUGUUCCAGUACCCUCCUGCCUCCCUUCUACUUUGGACUUUUCAUACUAGAGACUCUGCAAUAGAGAAGGAACUGAUGGAUGGGAGGAGGGUUGGUCGCACAUUGCUUUGUAACCGCCAUAGGCAGCGUGAGAUGGGGACAGCACAUGUGCAGCCCAACCAGGUACCAUUACUAAAAAUCUGCGAUUACAAGUGCAGAGAACUUAUGUUCUUAUGUAAAUUGGAGCACCGACAGGAACAACCCUGUUCAAUAAUCCCUGAAUAAUUGUGCAGGGUGAGUAAC